rnacentral:lncRNA from 1 species
GAAGUUAUACGUGCUUAGAUCUUGACCAUUGUCAUCUGAUGAUACAUCAUCUAUGUGGAUCUGGUCACAGUCCUCCAGGUCAUUAAAGAACAGAUGUGUAUCUGCAAGGUUGAAGAUCAUUUCUUCCAUCAUAAGACCUAUCCGCACAGACGUUGUCGUGUCCUUCCCAUAUCUGGAUGCAAAGGUUCCCGUGAGUAAGGAGUGAAAAAUAAUUAUCGUCUCAUCCAAAU